rnacentral:rRNA from 1 species
AUACGUAGGCCCUAAGCGUUAUCCGGAAUUACUGGGCGUAAAGCGCGCGUAGGUGGCUAUGUAAGUCGGAUGUGAAAGCCCUGGGCUCAACCUGGGAAUUGCAUUCGAAACUGCAUGGCUAGAGUAUGGUAGAGGGAAGUGGAAUUUCCGGUGUAGCGGUGAAAUGCGUAGAUAUCGGAAGGAACACCAGUGGCGAAGGCGACUUCCUGGGCCAAUACUGACGCUGAGGUGCGAAAGCGUGGGGAGCAAACAGGAUUAGAAACCCCGGUAGUCC